UAAUGGAAUUGUCAGGUGGUGUAUAGAAUAUUUGAGGAAAAUUAAAAAAAUUUGGGAGGAAGAAAGAUCCAUAUAUUAUUUAGCUGAAACAUGAUAUGAUACAUUUAUGAUUGAUGUAUGAUUUCCAUUCUCUGGGAAAAAAGUCCCUUUUUUGCCAUAGUAAGAAAACCAUAUUUUUAUUAAUAAAACAAGUUUAAAAUUUUGUUUUUUACAGCUUACUGCCCCUGUUGUCCUUCAGUGAUACAAUAAAGACUGCUUCUUCCACCAUUCUCUGGGAAAAACCCUUUUUUGCUAUGCUUACUACCCCUGUUGUCCUUCAGCAACACAAUGAAAACUGCUUCUUCCUCUAUUCUCUGGAAAAAAGUCCCUUUUUUGCCAUACUUACUGCCCCUGUUUGUCCUUCAGCGACACAAUAAAGUAUAUAUAAUGUAAUGCUUUAGAAUCCAUAUGCUGAUGUGCGAGAUGAAGUUGGAAUCCAUGGUGGCAACAGAGAAACUGUUUCCUUCCUUAAUGGAAGAAACUGCUAAAGAACAAUGGCAAAAAAACAGAAUUUACAAAAUUUGUAUUAACUUUUUGGGCCAGAUUCAAAAGAGUGGUUAAAUUUAUAAAAGUAUUUAGUAUCCUCACUGUAGUUUUAGGAUCCAGUAUACUUAAAAUGUAGUGUUUUGUAUAAGAUUUUUAGUUUUUAGUAUAAGCAUUUAUUUUUGUUAAUUUUUAUCUAAUCUCUCCUAAUAUGCAUAAU
rnacentral:lncRNA from 1 species